CCAGGGGGUGGUGGAUGAUGACACCGGACUGUCUCCUGCAAUGGAUGACAGCUUCUGGACUGGAACGCCUGCCUAGGUUGCUAGGACGCGCAGCUCUGGGAUCCCUUCAUCAAGGACCACUCCAUCCGCCUCCGCUCCGCUGCCUGCAGCUUCCGAUUCUCCAGCCGCCGUGCAGGAUGCCACAGCCACCUGGAUAUCAGCGGCACCCCGGCGACGCGGCACUUCUCCCAUCUCUGCCGGCACCUGGGACAGAGGACAGGCCAGUGUUCUUCUUCUUCCAAUGACACUGCUGUACUCCUAGUUGUUCCAGUCUAAAUGACGGGGGUACUGAGCUUCUGCUGCAGAUUCACAGAAAGGUUCCCUAUCUAAGUGAUGUUUCUGUACCUGGGUAUCCGAAUUUUUCUUUUGCAAGUUUUCUCACUAUAUAAGGCCAAACUGGUUGUAUACCAGAAAGCCCCGGUGAUAUAUGGGAUUUCCCAUCAAGCACAUAUGAACGAGUCUUAUCGUAUUUUACUAUUCGUAUAAACAACUGUAUGUUCCAGUCAUUCGAGAUGUACCCCUGAUGAAGUCUUUUGUAUAAGACGAAACGCGUUGGUUUAUCUGUAUUGUGAUGUUAUCUCCGAACCAACUAUGAGGAGAAGGAGGAGACUGUUGUCAAUCACCUACAAUUGUAUUCAACGCUAAGAGUCAUACUGCUUAAAGUGUGGAAUAACACAUCUCUGUAUCAAUAUUGAUUUUGAGGUUCUUUUAAUAAAUUUUAUA